rnacentral:misc_RNA from 1 species
GUACCCUCAAGCUUUGCUUGGUGUUGGGUGUUUGUCCUCUCCCUUGCGUUUGGACUCGCCUUAAAACAAUUGGCAGCCAGUGUUUUGGUGUAGGAGCGCAGCACAAGUCGCGAUUCUUACCUUGUAGCACUUGCGUCCACAAGUCAUUUUAUCAC